rnacentral:pre_miRNA from 11 species
CUGACAGAAGAGAGUGAGCAUAUGCAACCAGUUGUAUAUAGAGUAUGCAUUUAUUGGGAUUAUGCGUGUGCUCACUUCUCUUGCUGUCGG